UAGCAAGUCGACCAAAGGCGAAAGCAGUCAUCAAGGGCACGCCCGUUGAUCAAGAGCGAAAGUUAAGGGUUCGAAGACGAUCAGAUACCGUCGUAGUCUCAACUAUAAAUGAUACAAACCAGGGAUAGGACACUGUCCAUCUCGACUCCUCCUGCACCUUAGAGAAAUCAGAGUCUUUGGGUUCUGGGGGGAGUAUGGUCGCAAGGCUGAAACUUAAAGGAAUUGACGGAAGGGCACACAAAGAGUGGAACCUGCGGCUUAAUUGCUAGGCCGCGAUAGUCGGCAUGGGCUUGGUCCCCCAUGUAAGCCGGCUAGUCGACUUCUCAUAACAGGGUUGAGUGGGAAGCGGCGAGACAACCUGGUACGAGGGAACUCUGGGCUGGGCUACGGCUGCCCUCUAGACAAUCUCGUGGCGAGCUAUCGGUGGGCAACUGCUGAAUGGCCGUCGUAACGCGCGGUAAGGUGUCGGGCGCUCUCAUUCGUGAGGCGUCUUAAGGAACGUGCUACUCCCACCCGCGAGGGUGUCUUGCGCUGGAGCUCUCAACCAGUAAAGGCGCAGGAGGCUAGAUGCCCAUCGGAAAUGGUGGGUGGAGGCCGGUACAAAAGGUAAUUUGACUCAACACGGGAAAACUCACCAGGUCCGGAUACACGUAUGAAAGUCAAGCUGAAAGACUUUACUCAAUGAUGUAAGUGGUGGUGCAUGGUCGUAAACUACUUGCGACAGUGCCUGUAAAAGCAGGUGCUAGUGGGCCUCUGGGCGCUUUUGCGAGCCCUUGGGUUCUGCGACACUAUCAAAUUGCGGGGAAAUCCAGGGUGGGCAGCGGUACCGCCCUAGCACCGAAAGGUCUGGCUAGUGGCACCACAGGGAAACUUGUGGGUAUGGUAAGAACCCGUUGUCUUGGACUAUCCGCAGCCAAGCUCUAACCCCUCCUCGAUAAGACCACUCGGCUCAAAAAUGGGGGCUGGGCGGCUACAGGGGGAUACGAGUGCAGUUCAACGACUAAAUGGUAGUGGGCGGGUCACUCCGCUUAAGAUAUAGUCUUGCCCCACCGGAAGGUGGUCCUGGGAUAAAAGGGACGAGCAAUCCCCAGAGCCUAGGAGGGUAUUUGGAUACAUGCCCGGAUUUCCAGUCGUAGUUCGUGGAUUGAUUUGUCUGGUCUAUUCCGAUAACGAGCGAGACCCCAACGUUCCUAAUAGGGGCUUCAGCCCGGCUGGUCGCAAGAUUGGUUAGCUGUUGCUUAGGUUAUUGCUUCUUAGACGUAUCAGAGCCGAUAAGGUUCUUGAAAUGGGUUAAUAACAGGUCAGUCAUGCCCUUAGAUGUUCUGGGCCGCACGCGCGUUACAAUGGCAUGAAAAGAAAGUGCUUCAAAAGGCGAUUCCGGGGCCGAAAGGUCCUGGUAACCCUUAAUCCCUGCCUUGACUGGGAUAGAUCUUUGCAAUUAUUGGUCUCUAACGAGGAAUUUUUAGUAAUCGUAGGUCAUUAACCUGCGAUGAAUGCGUCC
rnacentral:rRNA from 1 species